CAAGAAGCCGAAAGGCUACUUAAAACCAUCGCGAACUUAUCCAAGUUGCUUCGGCGGCGCGGCUCCCCUCAACGGGGGACCGCAGCCCCCGCCUCUCAGAGGUAAGGGGCAGCCGCCGGAGGUACGAAACUCUGUAUUAUAGUGGUAUCUCUGAGUAUAAAACAAAUAAGUUA
rnacentral:misc_RNA from 1 species